GAAGUAGAGCUGAAAAGUAGAGCUGUAGCUCUCAAACUAUGCUUCUUUACCCAUGGGGAGUUUGUUUCGUGACUGACUUCACCUUAAUGCCAGCUCACCAAAACCAUGAAAUUUUUACUCAGCUUUGUUUUAAUUUGUAAAUGGAAUGAAGAAUUACUUAAGGUAGUAAUCCUGUUGCUUGGUUGAGGAUGGAUCAUAGUUCUUCAGUUUUAUAAUAUAGUAAUCCAAAGUGGCAUUUUGGAACUAUUUGAAUCAUCUAAAUCAAUUGUAAAUCUUAGUUUUCAUGUGUCUAGAAAGUGAGAGGAAAAACACGUGAAUGUUCUUAAGUCUCUUGAUAUGUUCUACAUAUAAUAGCACCUAGCCAUCUGUAGCUGUUUAAAAAUAACUAAAAUUAAAAAUCAGCUUCUCUGUUGCACUAGUCACAUUUCAAGUGAUUAAAGACACAUAAGGCUAGUGUCAGUUGUAUUAGACAGCAGAGCUAUACAACAUUUUUAUCAUUUUAGAAAGCUUUAUUCUCCGGAAUAAAGAUUGUAACCUUUUUCCUUUAUCCUGUAUUUCUAUUUGUUUAUUGGAGUUUUCUGCCUGCCUGCAGGUCUCAUCUCAAAGGCAGUGAAUUAAGUCAUUGUUUUUUCCUUCAGAUUUUCUUCUCUUUCUCCUAUAUAUUUUUUUUUUCUAGAGCCAGGGUCUCCCUCUGUCACCUAGGCUGGAGUGCAGUGGUGUUAGCUCAGCUCACUCCACCUUCCUUCUCCUGGUCCCACCUCAGCCUCCCAUGUAGUUGGGACUACAGGCUCAAGCCAUUAUGCCUGGCUAAUUUUUGUAUUUUUUUUUGUAGAGAUGGGGUUUCGCCAUGUUGCCCAGGAUGGUAUCAAACUCCCAUCCUCAAGCAAUCCUGCCUAGGCCUCCUGAGGUGCUGGGGUUACAGAUGUGAACCACUGCAUCUGGCCAAAAAAUGACAUAUUUUUGGUUAGCAAGAUUGAGCAUUUCUUUACAUCUUUAUUGAUUUUUCAGAAACGUUUCUUGGCCGGGCACGGCAGCUCACACCUGUAAUCCUAGCACUUUGGGAGGCCGAGGCGAGUGGAUCACAAGGUCAGGAGAUCGAGACCAUCCUGGUUACCACAGUGAAAUCCCAUCUCUACUAAAAAUACAAAAAAUUAGCCAGGUGUGGUGGCACGUGCCUGUAGUCCCAGCUACUUUGGAGGCUGAGUCAGGAGAAUUACUUGAACCCUGGAGGCGAAGCUUGCAGUGAGCCGAGAUUGCGCCACUGCAGUCUAGCCUGGGUGACAGAGGGAGACUCCGUCUCAAAAAAAAAAAAAAAAAACCAACAAAACAAAAAGUUCCUUAUAGUUCAGUUUUUAAUUAGGACUUUUAUCUACAUAGUUCAUUUUAAAGGCAUAAGCGUAUAGAGAAGAAAACAAGGGGUAGGUACAUCCCUGGUGACUCAUCCCUAUAAUCCCAGUGCUUCGGGAAGCUUAGACAGGAGGAUUGCUUGAGGCCAGGCGUUUGAGACCAGCCUGACCAACAUAGUAAGACCCUGUCUCUACAAAAAAUACAAAACUUAGCUGGGCAUGGUGGCGUGUGCCUGUAGUCCCAGAUACUUGGGAAGCUGAGGCAGGUGGGAGAAUUGCUUGAGCCUAGGAGUUCAAGGAGUUUGAGGCUGCAGUGAGCUAUGAUUGUACCACUGCACUCCAUCUAAAACAGAAAGAAAACAAAACAAUUGUAUUACUUGGAUAUCAUCUUAAUAUUAACAAAAAUAAAAAUAUUAAAUACACAGAUACAGAUAUGUUAAAAAAAAUUGUAUACAUAUAUGUUUAAAAAAAAAUCCAAGCCAUAACAUAACAGUUUAGAAAGAUAUGAAAUGAAAAUGUACACUACAGACAUUUAACCAUAAGCAAUAAUUUCUUUUUCAUUUUUAAAAUAAUUUCUUGAUGUCAUCUGUGUGAUCUGAAGGCAGUAAUUUCUUCUGUGUCCUCGGAAAAAAAAUUUUGUGCAUACAUUAUCAGUAGAGAUUUUUACAGGAAAAGAACCAUGCUGUGGAAACUGUUUUGCUUUUUUUCACUUAAUGUCUGUGUUAGGUCCUCCAGAGACAUGGAACCAAUAGGAUAGGCGGAUGGAUGGAUGGAUGGAUGGACGGAUGGACGGAUGGACGGAUGGACGGACAGAAGGACGGACAGAAGGGUGGAUGGAUGGAAGGACAGAUGGACAGACGGAUGGAAUUUAUUAGGGGAAUUGGCUCAUUCAAUUAUGGAGGUUGAAAAGUCCCCACAAUAGUCUAUUUGCAAGCUGGAUACCCUGGGAUGCCAGUAGUAUGGCUCAGUGGAAGUCUGAAGGCCUGAGGACAAGGGUUUUACCACAUUUACAUGUAUCCCUGAACAGCAUACGUAUAUUUUGAAAAACUAAGUAUUGGUGAUUAGACAUAUCUACCAACACUUUCCAAUAAUCUCUCCAUUCCCCAGGUAUUUGAAAUUUUACCUUUAUCAUAAACUAAAAUCUUGUUUAUAAAUGGGUGUGUCUCUGUUUUUCUUCCGUUAAUCUGUCACAUAUUUUUAUAAUUGUUCAGUUGAUUGUCUUGGGUAUUUUAGGUAGGCAUUUAUCUCUGCUAAUAACUAUCAUUUUUUCUCUUACUCUCUAGCACUUACACCUUUUUUUGCUUGUUUUCAUUGCGUUGGCUGUAGCUUCCAGAAUAAUGUUGAUUGAUACUAGCAAUAGAGCACAUCUUUUACUUCUGAUGUUUUGCUAUUUGUUUCAUAUUUCCGUUUUUAUGUUAAGGAACUAUCCUUUAAUUGCUUAUUUACUAGUAGUGGUUUUAGGAAUUAUGUUUAAUCAGAUGUCCUUUAUUUAGCAAGAUGAUGGAGUAGUUUUUCUCCUUUAAUCAACUAAUAUUAUAUAUGGGAUUAGUAUUUUCUAAUGUUGGAACAUCUUUGCAUUUCUGAAAUAAAUCAUACUUGGUCAUGA